rnacentral:rRNA from 1 species
UCCAGAGGUCUCAAGCGUUGCUCGGAUUCAUUGGGCGUAAAGGGUGCGUAGGCGGCGCGGUAAGUCGGGUGUGAAAUCUCGGGGCUUAACUCCGAAACUGCAUUCGAUACUGCCGUGCUUGAGGACUGGAGAGGAGACUGGAAUUUACGGUGUAGCAGUGAAAUGCGUAGAUAUCGAGAGGAACACCUGCGGCGAAGGCGGGUUGCUGGGCCGACACUGACGCUGAUGCGCGAAAGCCAGGGGAGCGAACGGG